rnacentral:lncRNA from 1 species
UGUCCAUCGUGAGUGAGUUCCGUGACGCUUGUCAAAAGAAGAAAUUACUAGCCCUACCGUACUGCCUACAUAGAGUUACAUAGGCAGGACAGACUCUAUCAUGUCGAUGGGCAAAACAACAUUGGAAGCAGAUGCGAUCUCGGUUCGGAUCUGUUCAAUCCGAGAUGCCGGUCAACCCAGCCAUAUGUGUGUCUUUUCAAUGUGAGACUUUGUAGAUACUGCUACUAUGCAGUAGUGUACCCCCCCAUUCAUGCUUACGCCGCUUAUGGUGACGCAUCGCCCUCUCAGGUCGACUCAUCUAUUGCCUUUCGGACUGGGUCAUGUACAGUUAUGUGUGCAUGUACAUAGAGAGAGGGGGCAUGGGGCUCAAAUGUAUCAUCAGUCUCUGUCCAUUCUACCCCCCAAAAAAAAACUCGGCAGGGGAAGA